UCUCGAUAACGUAAAAGUUUAAUCAAAUUUGUAUGGAGUUGGAACGUCUGCCUACGUUUUCCGCUAGAGGCGCUGUUUCAACUGCAUACAAAUUUGAGUUACUUUUACGCUAGCGA
rnacentral:pre_miRNA from 9 species